ensembl:lncRNA
GUUAAGACAAAGUGCUUUUCCCAGGUCUGCAAAAUUUGAUAUUCUAGUACAGGCUUAUAAUUAGCUUUUAAAUACAACAGCAAUUUUUCAGUGGUUUCACUCAUACAUCAGGGAUGUUGCACGUCUAUGUGCAACAUGUAUAUUGUAUAGGGUGUGUGUGUGUGUGUGUGUAUGUGUGUGUGUCUCCCAAUCACAUCUGGGGCCUCUGUGACCUGCAAUUCAACAUGGGGUUUGUCACCAAGCCUCUUUAGACUGUCAGCUUUAUUGGUGCCAUUUUUUUAAAGUUUGUUUUGUUCCCUAUGCUAAUAAAGCUUGUCUCUGCCUCAAUCAAAGUAUAUCAUCUCUCCCUUUUUCUCUUGUAAGUAAGGCAGCAAUCUGUUCUGUUUAAAUGCUUCAUCAUCUUUGCUCUCCCCCUCCCUGUUUCCCUAGAUUUUCGAGAUUGUUGACUAUUAUGUAACAGAUGGCCCAACAGACCUCCGACUCUUUUGCGGUGUUGGCCAGCUUGGCUCAGGAAAAUAGCAGCACUGGAAUGUUAGAAAGAUGCUAAUGGAUCCUUCUGACUUUCGUUUUGGUGCUUCUCUUAGGCAACAUUUUCAAAAGAUCACUAACUCAUACAUGGGCUAUACCUCUCUAGAUGAAGCUGCACGAUGUCAAGGUCAUAUGAGGACAGCUCUUCACCUGCAUGACCACCUUGGACUUUUCACAAUAGGACAUGAAGAUGUUUGUUUUGUUCUGUGGCUUGCAAUCCCCACAGCAUGUCACAGAGGAAGUGAUAUGGAACCAUUAUCAAAAGCAGUUUUUGUGUCCCAUCCGCACGAGUGGGGAAUGAAGGGCUUUGCAGCACAUUUCUAUGGGGGACUUUAAAAAGGAUAAUUGAAUUGUUUAAAUCAAAUUUGGGUGCCUCUGUCACAAAUCAUUACCUGUCUUUCCUCUAUCUAUCUCCUUGUUUUUCAAAUUAAUGGCACAUACUACACACUGACCUCCAUUAGCUUAAUUUGGUUGAGACAUUUUCCAGUCCGUAUCAUCAAAAUGAGAGAGAAAAUUAUGUUGGCCAGGGAACCAUCUGUACAGUGCAAAAUGUUAAAGCAGCAGGCAUUUUUCUAUAUUUUCUCAGUUUUGAAAGACUCUGUAUACAACUCUAAAUACUUAAAGUCACUAACUGAACACAUUUCUCAGAUUACUGAUUUGGACUUCAUGAGACUGGUAUUUCUGUUGCCUAGGAUGAAAUUCAAAAUAUUCUUAUAUUCAAAUCCUAAGACAUGUACUACAUAAAGAAUGCUAAAGCCUUUGUCUACUUAAUCAGAUGUUUCUCUUAAUAGAUAGUGCUAUAUAUAGUUCUCUAUAUUCCCUGGCAUUUCACAAGAAGUGCUAUGAACUAAAAUCAUCUCCGAGUCCAUCGGCUCAACAUACUCAAUUUUUAAUGCAUUGACACAUUAACUAGCAUUAAUUGCUUUCUUUUGUAAACUAAGUGAUACUUUACCUUUCCAGUUAGGUUAAUUAUUUUCAAUAUCUAUCUGAGAUUAAGAAAUAUGAUCUGUAGAUUAAAUGGUCAUAAAUAAUUCAAUUUAGCAUGAACUUUUAGUAUGUGUUCCAGUAAUUUUGCCAGACUGUAAGGACACAACAUUGAGAGGAAAGUACCCUCUUUAGUAGAGAACAUGUACAGUGACUGUUUGCCUAUCAACAUCACAAUAUAUUCAAAAGUCUCUUUAUAAGCACCAUACAGACACAAGGAGGAAGCCUGGUGAAGUACAGUGGAAAAGGGGCAAGACACUAGUUGUUGGCCCUGGUUCUUCCUUCACCAACUGUGUGACUGGAAGCAUGUCACUAAACUGUGCCAGGUCUCAGUUUCCUCAUGUGUUCAACCAGGGCCUUGAAUGAGAUGUAAGUUUUUCCACCCAUCCUCCACCAAGGACCCUGUAAAUAUCUUUUCCUCAGCUUCUUUAUGUUUUGAAAGAGUUAGUCUAAGAAAUAAUUAUUAAUAAUUAAUUUGCUGUUAUUCACUAAUAAUUAUUUUCUACUAAAAAUCUUUAUGGUAUUGCCAAUCAGAACUUUUCAUAAACACGGGACCACAAGGGUGUCAAGCUAAUUUAAUAUGAUUGUAACUGAAAUCAAUAAAGUCAUACUUUAGUAAGUCAAGGUCAGAGGUGCUCAAACUUUUUCCUUUCAUGGCACCCUGGAGGCCUCAAAAAGUUUUUCACAGUGCCUCAAGGCCAAAAUAAAUAUCUAAAAGUUCUGUUUGUUAAGUACUUGAUUCCAAACAACUUAAUAGGCAUUUAUGUCCUAAGAACUUUUAUUCAAAUGAUAGCCAUUUUAACAAAAAAUACACCUAAAUUGAAAAAAAAAUUAUUCCAUUCUUAUAAAACCAUGAUUAUUUAUUAACAACAACAAAAAAAAUGUGUGCCUGUUGGGCAUUGUAUGCCUUUACAAACCUUGUUUGUAAUUUCCUGUUCUACGUUCACUUUCACAUGGUACCUGAUGGCUUUCUACCACAGCAAUGACCAAAAAGUCAGUUUCACAAAAAUAGGUUAGCAAAAGAAAUGGAGCACAAUCUAAUUUUGAGACUGUGAACCACUUUGAGCUAGAAAUGUGCCUGGUGUCUGACAGAUGUUGAGUGUUGCUGUGUUUUCCAUAAAUUUAGAAUUAUCCCUCAGUGCCCCUAUGAGUUCACUUCAGAACCCCACCUCCAACCCCAGUGAUCCCUGGCACACAGUUUGGGAACCACAGAACUGGGCAAUUUUAUUAUGGCCAAAUGUAUAAUUUUCACUAGGGUUUCUGAAAAUUGUUUAUUAAGACUUUUAGAGCCCUCACAUCAGGAACC